rnacentral:rRNA from 1 species
GAUGAACGCUGGCGGCGUGCCUCAAACAUGCAAGUCGAGCGGGCUACAGUCUUCGGAUUGUAGCUUAGCGGCGAACGGGUGAGUAACACGUAGGUAAUUUACCCUUCAGAGGAGGACAACCUCAGGAAACUGAGGCUAAACCUCCAUACGUUCAUAUGUAGGGAUGCAGAUGAAGAAAGAGUUACCCGUGAGGGUAGCUGCUGAAGGAUGAGCCUGCGGCCCAUCAGGUAGUUGGUGAGGUAACGGCUCACCAAGCCUAAGACGGGUAACCGGUCUGAGAGGAUGUCCGGUCACACUGGGACUGAGACACGGCCCAGACUCCUACGGGAGGCAGCAGUGGGGAAUAUUGGACAAUGGGCGAAAGCCUGAUCCAGCAAUGCCGCGUGUGUGAAGAAGGUCUUCGGAUCGUAAAGCACUUUCGACAGGGACGAUGAUGACGGUACCUGUAGAAGAAGCCCCGGCUAACUUCGUGCCCAGCAGCCGCGGUAAG